GGCAGCAGCAACGAAUCUUCCGCAAUGCGCGAAAGCGUGACGGAGCAAUGCCGCGUGCAGGGUAAGCCCCUCGGGGUGUAAACUGCUGUCAGGGUUUAGCAACACAAUGAGCAGACCCAAAGGAAGGGCCGGCUAACUUCGUGCCAGCAGCCGCGGUAAUACGAAGGGCCCGAGCGUUGCGCGGAAUCAUUGGGCUUAAAGCGUACGUAGGCGGACACGCAGGCACCUUGUGAAAUCCCUCGGCUCAACCGAGGAAUUGCUUGGUGAACCGCGUGUCUUGAGACAAGUAGGGGCUGUCGGAACGAUAGGUGGAGCGGUGAAAUGCGUUGAUAUCUAUCGGAACGCCAAAGGUGAAGACAGGCAGCUGGGCUUGUUCUGACGCUGAGGUACGAAAGCGUGGGGAGCGAACGGGAUUAGAUACCCCGGUAGUCCACGCCGUAAACGAUGUGCACUAGGUCGAGGGAGUUCUGACGCUAUUCUCGGCCGAAGCUAAAGUGUUAAGUGCACCGCCUGGGGAGUACGGUCGCAAGGCUAAAACUCAAAGGAAUUGACGG
rnacentral:rRNA from 1 species